CUACGGGUGGCACCAGUGAGGAAUAUUGCACAAUGGAGGAAACUCUGAUGCAGCAACGCCGCGUGAAGGAUGACGCAUUUCGGUGUGUAAACUCCUUUUAUAUGUCAAGAAAAUGACGGUAGCAUAUGAAUAAGCUCCGGCUAACUCCGUGCCAGCAGCCGCGGUAAUACGGAGGGAGCAAGCGUUACUCGGAAUCACUGGGCGUAAAGGACGCGUAGGCGGGAUAGAAAGUCAGGUGUGAAAUCCUAUGGCUCAACCAUAGAACUGCACUUGAAACUUCUAACCUAGAGUAUGGGAGGGGAAGAUGGAAUUAGUGGUGUAGGGGUAAAAUCCGUAGAUAUCACUAGGAAUACCAAAAGCGAAGGCGAUCUUCUGGAACAAUACUGACGCUAAGGCGUGAAAGCGUGGGGAGCAAACAGGAUUAGAUACCCCAGUAGUC
rnacentral:rRNA from 1 species